GUGAUACUCACUCCGUCUGAAAAAGUUUGUCCCAAGAUUGUUUCUCAAAUGAAUGUAUCUAGCACUAACUUAAUGCUAGAUAUAUUCAUUUGAGGGACAAACUUUUUCGGAUGGAGGGAGUAGCCA
rfam:Triticum aestivum genome assembly, contig: Triticum_aestivum_CS42_TGACv1_scaffold_500769_6BL